CACUCCUGUAGGUCCUCAACAAAGACACCUGUGUUGUUUCUUGCUGCUCUCCUUUACUGCAAGACUAAAACAAAACAAUACGUGCUGCAGAAACAAUGGAGUUUAUCUAUUCUUCUUUUCAUUCCCCCGUUCUGAUGAACACUGCGGCUGGAUUAUAGCUGCGUAGGGGACAGGCUCUCCCUCCAAUUAAACCUUUGCAUGGAGUGCGGCCGAGCAGGUGUUUCACAGUUCCUGGCAGCUCUGGCGCUCUAUCUUUGGAUGACGAGGUUUGAACAAUGGGAUUGGGAUGAAUAGGUUUGGCUACAUCUAAUGACUCAUUAACACACGUUGUAAACAAUUCCAGAGGAGGAAAAAAAAUAAGCACACACAGAGCGGCAGAUGGGAAGGGCAGCAUGGGCACCAGCAAUUUGUUGCAAUGAGACAAGAGGGAGGAAGUGACUCUUCUUUUUUUGAGUGGAUAUCACAUCCCUGUGCCAGUUUACGAGUGAGUGAUGGUGUCUGGAUGAUGUAUAGGCCAUCCAUUUGUGUUUAUGAAGUCAAAUGUAAGCAAAUGCUACUUGGAUAAAACUCACAGAUGAUGAAGGCCAAGACAACACUGUGUUAUUAUCUUUUAAAGUCCAACUGUCUACUCCGGUAUACAUACG